ACACCGGCAGCCCGAGUGGUGGCCACUAUUAUUGGGCCUAAAGCGUCCGUAGCCGGUCCGGUAAGUCCCUGUGGAAAUCCUCAGGCUCAACCUGAGGAAAUGCGGGGAUACUGCCAGACUCGGGGCCGGGAGACGCGGAGGGUACUCCAGGGGUAGCGGUGAAAUGCUGUAAUCCCUGGGGGACCACCAGUGGCGAAGGCGCUCCGCGAGAACGGGCCCGACGGUGAGGGACGAAAGCCAGGGGAGCGAACGGGAUUAGAUACCCCCAGUAGUCC
rnacentral:rRNA from 1 species